UACGUAGGUGGCAAGCGUUAUCCGGAUUUACUGGGCGUAAAGGGUGUGCAGGCGGGGGAACAAGUGGUGUAUGAAAUCGCCCGGCUUAACCGGGCGGGGUUAUGCCAGACUGUUCUUCUAGAGGACGAGAGAGGGGCAUGGAAUUCCGGGUGUAGUGGUGAAAUGCGUAGAGAUCCGGAGGAACCCCAGAGGCGAAGGCGGUGCCCUGGCUCGUACCUGACGCUCAGACACGAAAGCAUGGGGAGCGAACGGG
rnacentral:rRNA from 1 species